CAAGUUGGACCCCCACUGACGACGUAGCCUGCUUUACUACUGCUGUCGUCGUCGUCUACCUGUGGAGCACAGUAGACACAGUCAUUUAUGCGGGUUAUAUCGCUUAAAAAGAUAUAUGAAAAAUUUCAUCAUUAUGGCAAUGCACGGUAUCAUUCUCUUUUUAGCAAUGGUUCCUAUAUGCGUCAUCGCGUAUGGCAAAUUUUCCGAAAAUAUCAAAAGCUCUGAGUACAUGCGAACAAAACUCUUAGAAAAUGUCAUCAACCAACUUGAAAAAGAUAUAGCUAAGUCAGAAAUAAAUAAUAAGUAUCUACAGUUAGGUCAAAUGAAAAAUUCAUAUCAAGAUUCGGAAAACUUUAUGGAUUAUGAGGAUGAUAUUGAGGAAACUAACAUAAUGCCGGCUAUCCGGGAUAACGAAUAUUUACAACACAGUACUUUAUGGGGUGCACAUUAUGUAAGCGGUGGCGCAGGAGAAGGAAUUCAAACUUUAAAUCCAGAAAAUCCUUUAAAAAAUAAAAAUGAAAUAAAAACAGAUUCUACACUACCUGCUUACUGCAAUCCACCAAAUCCAUGUCCUGUUGGUUAUACAGAGGAAGAUGGUUGUAUAAUUGAUUUUGAAAAUACAGCAGCAUUUAGUCGAGAAUAUCAAGAAUCACAAGAAUGUAUGUGUGAUUCUGAACAUAUGUUUGAUUGUGGUCGAGCAAAUUCUGUCAACAAGAAUAAUGUUGAUGUAGAUGAAUUAGUCAGAAAAUUUCAAGUCGAGGAUGAACAUAAAAACUUAGUAGCAAAAAAAUUUCAUGUGAAAAAGGCAUUUAAUCCAUAUUUACAAGGAGAGUUUCUUCCUAUUGCAGCCAAAAAAGGAAUUGGAUUUUAAUUUGAAAUUUUAUUCAUAUUAAAAAUACAUCUAUUCUGAAAUAGAGAUUCUCAUCUUAACAGUGUCAAAAAUAGAACUUCAAUACAUACAUUUUUAUAUUAUGAUUUUAUCAAUAAGGAUACUUUUUAAUUCUUCCAAUUAAUUAACUUUUAUCAAUAAUUUUUUAAAUCAAGUUAUAAUGAUUUGGAUAAACUUCAAGAGAUUUCUUUAUCAUCACAUAGCUAGAUUGGUGAUCACCUUCCUGAAAAUAAUUAUCAUUGCUAUAAUACUAGUAUAUAAGUAACAGUACUAUAUUGACUUUUUUUGAAAUUCAUUCAAUGAAAACUCAAGAAUAUCUAAUAAACAUUUAACAUAUACGUUAUUUGUAUAUUUAUAAAGAUAUAAGUAUAAAACUGAAUUACCUC